UUGAUGGUGCUUGCACCUGAUUGAUUUUGGUCGCCAACGAGUGGCGGACGGGUGAGUAACACGUAGGUAACCUGCCCAGAAGCGGGGGACAACAUUUGGAAACAGAUGCUAAUACCGCAUAACAGCGUUGUUCGCAUGAACAACGCUUAAAAGAUGGCUUCUCGCUAUCACUUCUGGAUGGACCUGCGGUGCAUUAGCUUGUUGGUGGGGUAACGGCCUACCAAGGCGAUGAUGCAUAGCCGAGUUGAGAGACUGAUCGGCCACAAUGGGACUGAGACACGGCCCAUACUCCUACGGGAGGCAGCAGUAGGGAAUCUUCCACAAUGGGCGCAAGCCUGAUGGAGCAACACCGCGUGAGUGAAGAAGGGUUUCGGCUCGUAAAGCUCUGUUGUUAAAGAAGAACACGUAUGAGAGUAACUGUUCAUACGUUGACGGUAUUUAACCAGAAAGUCACGGCUAACUACGUGCCAGCAGCCGCGGUAAUACGUAGGUGGCAAGCGUUAUCCGGAUUUAUUGGGCGUAAAGAGAGUGCAGGCGGUUUUCUAAGUCUGAUGUGAAAGCCUUCGGCUUAACCGGAGAAGUGCAUCGGAAACUGGAUAACUUGAGUGCAGAAGAGGGUAGUGGAACUCCAUGUGUAGCGGUGGAAUGCGUAGAUAUAUGGAAGAACACCAGUGGCGAAGGCGGCUACCUGGUCUGCAACUGACGCUGAGACUCGAAAGCAUGGGUAGCGAACAGGAUUAGAUACCCUGGUAGUCCAUGCCGUAAACGAUGAGUGCUAGGUGUUGGAGGGUUUCCGCCCUUCAGUGCCGGAGCUAACGCAUUAAGCACUCCGCCUGGGGAGUACGACCGCAAGGUUGAAACUCAAAGGAAUUGACGGGGGCCCGACCAAGCGGUGGAGCAUGUGGUUUAAUUCGAAGCUACGCGAAGAACCUUACCAGGUCUUGACAUCUUGCGCCAACCCUAGAGAUAGGGCGUUUCCUUCGGGAACGCAAUGACAGGUGGUGCAUGGUCGUCGUCAGCUCGUGUCGUGAGAUGUUGGGUUAAGUCCCGCAACGAGCGCAACCCUUGUUACUAGUUGCCAGCAUUAAGUUGGGCACUCUAGUGAGACUGCCGGUGACAAACCGGAGGAAGGUGGGGACGACGUCAGAUCAUCAUGCCCCUUAUGACCUGGGCUACACACGUGCUACAAUGGACGGUACAACGAGUCGCGAACUCGCGAGGGCAAGCAAAUCUCUUAAAACCGUUCUCAGUUCGGACUGCAGGCUGCAACUCGCCUGCACGAAGUCGGAAUCGCUAGUAAUCGCGGAUCAGCAUGCCGCGGUGAAUACGUUCCCGGGCCUUGUACACACCGCCCGUCACACCAUGAGAGUUUGUAACACCCAAAG
rnacentral:rRNA from 2 species